UUGCUUUGGCAGCACAUAUAUUAAAAGUGGAAUGAUCCAGAGAAGAUUAGAAUGGCCCCUGCUCAAAGAUGCCAUGCAACUUGUGGCUGCUUGAAGCCACCAAU
ensembl:snRNA U6 U6 spliceosomal RNA